AUAUCAUGUGGUCUGUGCUGCAGUUUCAGAGUAAAUGACACAGGUCCCGCCUGUAAAGCAGUAAAGACACUCCCUGCCACUCGUAAGUACAACAAUUACGUUAUUUAAAUCUGGAGCAAGAAUCAUAGGUAGCUCCAUAUUCUGAACUUUGCAUUUUCUACAUUUUUUAUUCCCUUACCGACUUUGAACUAGGGUUUCUUUCUUUUCUCUUUUUAAUGAAUUUGUGUUCUCCCAUUCCUUUCUGCAGUGUGGCCGUGUGUAAUGGGGCCACAAGACCGGUGGGCAAAGGGUCCCGAGUCAGGAUGCUGAGAGUUCCUGAGGGAGCCAGCGCGGAGCCCCAGGUUCCUGGGCCGCCUGCAGGGCGCCUGAGAAUCCCAUGCAGCGCCCUUGGUCUUCCGAGAGCUCCGCGUUCAGGGCGGUUUUAUUGGGCAUGCAGAGCCGAGAGCGCCCGGGACUCGGGAGCCACCCUCCGCUCCGCCCGCCCGCCCUGGGCGCGCCCUCCGGGCCUGGGAGGCCUGGCCCCGCUUCUCCAGGGAUGGGGUGUUGCAGUCAAAGUCCCCUCGUGCCCACGGGGCGGUACCCCUCCCGCCUGCCCGGGUCUCGGCUUCGUGUUUCCGGGUUGGCGCUGGUGGGCCGCGCCUGGCCCAGCGCUGGGCAUCCUGGACUUCCCUUGGGGGAGCCUCCGCGGGCUGGGGGCACCUCAGCUCUCGCCCCCCACCCGCCUGGGGUCUGUCGCAUCCUCCCGAGAGAUCUGCAUCCGUGAGCGGCGGCUGGUCCACCGAGGGCCUCGCGCGGCGACGGACACGCGGACCCGGGACCACGGUGCGUGCACGGCGGCCACUGAGCAGACUGUCCCCGAGCUGUCGCCUGCCCACCCCGGGUGCCUUCCCAUCCGGGUGUCUCUUCCUUCCUCCUCCUCCUCUGCCCGCCCUCAGCCUGGAUGAUUCCCUCCGCGUCCUGGAGCCGGAGGACUGGCUCUGGCCUUGCAUGGUUGGGACAGCUGGGUGGCCCCGUGGGGAGGGUCCCCCGCGCCUGCAGCCCCCGCGUCCUGUGACGGCCUCACGACAGCCUCAAGAGCGAGCACAUGGAGCUGCUCCCUUUCCAUGUCACGCAGCAGGAGACAGGCUCGCAGGGGAACCUGCCCCGCCCGGCUAGUGGCCUCCUGUGACCCCUCGUCCACGUCGGCCCUGGAGGUCCCCCUUCCGGCCUGUGUUCCUCACUCUCCCAAGCCCGGGUCUGGGGCAUUAGGGUCCCCUAACGGGCCGCAGGUGUGGCCAUCUUUGCACCCGCAGCGCCCAGUGCGCAGAAGCGCUCAAGCGACAGCUUCAGAGACCUUGUCGCCUGAGGGCCUUGAGACGGCCGCCACCCCCCUGAACCUGCCUCCGCCUCGGAGCCGGGGACGAAGGCUCAGCUCCCCGAGGCUCUCUCUGCGCGCCGGGCUCCUUUCACCGCCUGGAUUCCACAUUGGGGGCCCAGCCCUGCGUGCCCAGCUUGGCACCGGGUCCUGCACCCGCACGCCUCCCUGGGGUGAAGCGGGGGGAGAGGGACCACAGGUGUUCACGGGCUAACGCUUCAGUGACAGGUGGACAGAGGCUCAGCAGGAUAAUCAGUUCCCUCUGUUCCAAGGGGAGGGGGUCACCUUGAAAAGCCCGGGGGCUUGCAGUCCUGGAAAAUGUGUUUCGACUAGCUGCUUGGGCAGGAUGUACAAAGGGACAGGCGUUAUUUUAUUGCUGUAAUAUUGUAUGAUACUGUAACUAUACAUUAAUGUUGUCACUUACUGUAAAUGUACCAUGGUUUUACUAAGAAUAAAUACUUGUUAACAAUGACCUUGCCCUUGUCUCUCCUGGCAGAGGGUUGCUCAGAGUUCAGAGCUGGGGCAGAGCCCAUUUAGGACCCAGAAGAGAAUCCAGAGCAGAUUCCCUGGCCUCUCAGAGGGAAAGGACCCCCGCUGUGCCAAAAGCUGUGCUGGGGCCGCCCACCGCUCACCUCACCUGGGACCUGAGCCUGGCCCUGACCCUCACUGCCUGUGUGACCGGAGCAAGUACCGCCCUCGCUGGGCCUUAGUUUUCCUCUUCUGUCUGAUCAUGUCAAAGGGUUCCCGCUGGUUCAGAGCUCAGAGCUGCCAAGCUGGACAGAGGUGUUUGCGUGGACGGACAGAGCCUGAUGGCAGGAGUGGGCCACCUGGCAGGGGCUCUGCCAUCCUCCCUGAGCCCAGGACCCCCACGGGCCUGCUGUGGGAGCUGCCGGCGGGGUUGUCGUAAUAGUUGUUUGCAAACCCUUGCCCAGCCCACGCCUUGUGGGGUCAGGGCUUCUCCCCACCCCGGGCCGGCCCGACGCGCAGGCCCCCGCAGCUGGCUCCGUGAUGGCCGCGCCACUGGCCCUGCCACGACCACCCCUGCCGCGCCCUAUGCGCCAGGUGCAGCUUUGCUCAAGCAAUAAGGGAGAGCAGCCCGCCCCACUCGCCUGCUGUUGUGCGGGAAAUCAGCGGGUGGGCUUGUGUUUUCAGGGUGUCAACACGAGGCAACGCGGGGGCCAGGCACAGUCCCCCUGUGGCCCUCCCCCUCUAGGGCAGUGGCGUGGAUCCCAGCGCCUCCACUGGGAGGGACCCGUGGCCGCUGUGAGGCCCAGCCCUCGCCACUGUCACCGCUGGCCAUCCCCUCCUCCUGCACGCGGCGGCCGUGGCAGCGCCUGUCCCCGAGGUGACCGCGGCGGUGACAGCACAGCACGCAGAGUGGGGCCUGACGGACGGGCGGACUUGGGGGCACUUUACUAUCUGUCCUCGGCUGCUGAGAAAGGAGUGUGGCUGGAGGUGUCCGGGUCGCAGGGACGAGGACACGGUGCCAGUUCAGACAACAGGCUCCACGUGGACGCGGCCGCCGGAGCCUCUGGGCACACAGACCGGCCUUUCCAAAUCUUCCAGUUUUGCAAAAGAAGCCAAAAAUCCAGAUUUUGUGUGACAUCUUCUAAUUUGUAAAUGCCGACGAUGAGUUUAAAAAACAUUAAAAGCUGAGCUGGACACAACGAAACAAGUCAGUGGGCCUGACCCAGCGGGGCCUCUGGACCGCGGCCUCCACCAAGCCUGCACGUGUCCUGCAGAAAGGGUGGGACCAGAGCCUGCGGCCCCCCGAAAUGCAGAGGGAGGGGGCUGGUUUUACCGCCUUGGGGGACCCGACCCCCUGGAGGACAGAGCGGGCAGUGCAGACCCGGACGGGAGCGGUGGGCCAGCAGUGCCCACCCGGCCGCACUCCGUGGGGAAAGGGCAUCCUAGCCAGGCAAGCUUCCUGUCUGGCCAGGGUGGCAGGCAAGGUCCAGAUAGGAGAUGGCCACUUUAAAUGGUGCUGCUAAAUCUUGCCAUCAUGGGACCACCCUCACUUUCCAGUCACCCUCUCAGCAUAGUGACUAAGACCUUCAGGAUUCAAGCUGCCUGGAUUAAUUCCUGGCUCCACCUCUUACCAGCUGUGUGACGUUAAACAAGAAACCUAAGCUCUCUGUGCCUCGUUUUUAUUUGUGAAAAUUACUAGUGACUAUCUCAUCGCUGUCACAAGAAGGAAAUGAAGUGACACAUGUGAAAAGCUAGCAUAGUACUGGCACACAGUAAUUAGUAAAUGCUAUCAGGAAGAUGAGUAAUAACCAUUCAAAUAAAUGUCAGCUCUUAAUGCCCACAGAGCAAUAGAAAUGUAUGAAGCACUUACUGUGUGCAAGCUUUGCAACCAGGCUCCUGGGGACAGUAGGAGUUUGAGGAGAGGCCCACGUCUUAUUCACUGCUCACUCCCCCUCGGGGCAGCACGGGAUGUGAGGGAGGCCAGUGAAUACUCACUGAGUAAGGGGCCCCUGUCCUCAGGGAAUCUGGAAGUCGGGGGGCGUGGGGCAGACAAGACCAAGUGUGUAAGAGAUUAACAAAGAAAGGUCCCCGCCGUUCAGGGCAUCAGAGCGGGGUGGCCCGAAGCAGGAGAGGGGGAGUCUGGAUGCAUCAGAUCCACGGUCCCUGCUGGAAGAGGUCCGUUUCAGAAGAAAUCACCAGGAUCCAUGCAGUUGGGGACAGUCCCCUGGAAGCAAAGGUGUGGCUUAGAUGUGAAACCAAGAGUCAUUCCAAGAGGGCUGAAUAAGCGCAGAGACGGCGACAGAGUACUGGGUGUGUUGGGGACAGUGAGCACGGGAACUGGAUGGGGACAAAGUGUUCAGAACAGCUAGUAGGAGAAGGAAAGCUGGAGAGCUGAGCUGAUACUUGAUUGAAAAAGGCCUUCAAUGCCAGGCUAUGGUAGAGAUUGCUAGAUGUCUCCCCUUCGUAUUUUUUAACAAAACAUCUAAUUUAUUUGCCCAGAAUGGACUCUACUUCUCAGUUUUACUGGUAGCUGAGCGACUAAGUUCUAAUUUAGCUAAGAUCAAUGGGACUUAAGGGAAAGUCUUAUGUGCAAAUUCUGGAAUGUUGACACAAUGGCUGGAGUUUUAGCAGCCAUCUUAGAUCAUGAGGCACAAUUCUAAGACUGAUGGCAGAGGAAGGAAGGAACCAAGCUCUCUGAUAACUAUACCAGCCUCAGAUAUCCUACCUCUGCAUGGUUACACACAAGAGAAAUAAAUUAUACAGUUUAAGUCACUGUUAUUUGGGGUCUAUUUUAACAUGCAACCAAACCCAAACCUAAUUUAUACACAAGCCAAAGUCUUCAUGCUUUAUCCUGCGGCUGCAGGCAACCACUGGAAAUUUAUGAACAGGCAAGUAACAAGGUGGAUAUUUGAUGUAAAGAGUACCAUACAGAACAAUCUAGCAGCAACUGUGCAAUGGGCUUGCGAGGAGGAGAACCUAGAGGCUGGGAGCUCAGAGAGGAGGUUAGUGUGGUAAUUUAGGCAAGGUGAAUAAAUGAGUGUGUUAGUCUGGGUUCUCCAUAGAAACAGAAGGAAUAGAAUAUGCAUGUUCCUUAUUACACAGAUGAUGAGAAAUGAGUUUAUGCAGUUAUGGAGCUGAGCAGUGCUCAGAUCUGCAGGUGACAAGCUGGAGACCCGGGAGAGCCGAUGGCGUCGUUCCAGGCCACGUCUGAGUCCAAAGCCAAAGCUAAUCUCUCGAAUACAGAAACCAAGAGGGAAAGCAGGAAGACCAGUUAGGAAACCCCUGUGUUUCAGAAGGAGACGGUGGUGGAUUGAAGAGGGCGCGGGCAGUGGAGACAGAGGGAGAUGGAUGAGUUGACAAGGUCCUGAGGACAUAAUGGACUGAGGAUCAGUAAUGGAUCAGAUGCCGAAGUCACACAGAGGACAACUGGCAACUUCUCCAGCUGCAGCUGAGGCAAGCCUGUGAUUUUUGCUGCUUGGGCUGCUUGUGUCUUUGUUUUGCUGUGCAGGAUAGUGUUUUUGGCAGGAGAUGCGGUAAAUAUGCUGAUGUUGGCAUUCACAAGAAUUUUGCAUAAUAUUGUUGCUAUUUUUGAUAAUCCUCGUGAAAUUAUUAUUAUUAUUGAUUUCUGUGUGUUCUUCCCCUUUUACCUCCAAUUCCAGGGGGGAAGUAAAAUCAAAGGACCUAAAUAAUAAGUAGACCUGAUGCUAAAAACCAAACUAAGGGCUUUUGGUGAGUGAUUUUUAUUUCAAAACACAACGUAAUAGGAAGACAAAGCUGCAGAGUCCCCUGAGGUAGGAGUGACGCCCAGUUCCCCACUUCCUAGCUGUGUGACCUUGUUCAAAUUCCUUCAUCCUGCCAAGCCUCAGUUUCCCAAUCUGUAAAAUGAGAAAAAUAACCUUUGCUACGUUGUCACGUAAGGGUACAUGGAGCAAAAUGUUGUAGCGUGAAGGAAUCCAGAAUAUUGCACCAUGAUGAGUCUUUCUUUCUGAACUCCCCUUAUCUGCCUGAAAGAAGAGCUUCCCAAAAGAAUUCACCUGUCACAAAUGCCCUCUCUGGGAGUCUUGCAAACGGGAAAGGCUGGCUUCUAUCACCAGAGAUGAGACAGUGGCAGCAGGUUAAGAGGUCACCUCAACAGACAUCGUCACAAAACUCUCAUAUCUCCCAUCUGUUCUCCUAAGGGCCCACUUAUCUUUCCUAAAAGUCAUUUAUUUUCCCAUAAAUGCCCUUCCCUCCUCCUCUUCCUCUGUUAAGAUGGUAUAUAAGCCCCGUGAUGGUUGAUUCUAGCUAUCAACUUGACUAGAUCAUGGGGUGCCCAGAUAUUUGGCUAAACGUUAUUUCUGGGUGUGUCUGUGAGGGUGUUUCCAGCUGAGAUUGGCAUCUGAAUGCAUGGACUCAGGAAAGCAGAUCGCCCCUCCCAACAUGAGCAGGCAUCACCCAAUUCACCGAAGGCCUGAACAGAAGAAAAGACGAGGAAGGGAGAAUUUGCCCCGUCGUCUGCCUGGCUGUUGAGCUGGGAAAUUGGUCUUCCCCUGCCCUCAGGUUGGGUCUUAUACAUCAGCUCCCCUGGUUUCCAGGCCUUAGGACUCAGACAGAAUUACACCCCUGGUUUUCCUGAGUCUCCACCUUGCAGAGAAGUUGUGGGAUUCCUCAGCCUCCAUAAUUGCUUGAGCCAAUUCCUCAUAAUACAUCUCUUUCUGUACAUAUAUAUAUAUAUAUGUAUGUAUAUCUCCUUUAUAUGAUAUAUAUAAAACAAAUCAUAUAUAUACAUAUAUGGAAUAUAUGUAUAUUCUAUCAAUUCUGUUUCCCUAAAGAACCCUGACAAAUAUAAGCUCAAAAUUCUAAACACUUCUUUGAGUCACAUUUUCCUGUGAACUCUUGCAUAUGUCUGUGAAUCAAAAUCUGUCUUUUCUCAUUUUAAGUUGAAGGUUAAUUAAUGUGUGAA